rnacentral:ncRNA from 1 species
GACCACGGGGUGCUUGCAAGAGCAGGCUGAGAGUCGGCUGAUUUGUCGUAACCCGCAUAACCUGAUUUGGAUAAUGCCAACGAAGGGAUCAUCAGAAAAA